rnacentral:rRNA from 1 species
UAGGGAAUCUUCCGCAAUGGACGCAAGUCUGACGGAGCAACGCCGCGUGAGUGAAGAAGGAUUUCGGUUCGUAAAACUCUGUUGUUAGAGAAGAACAGCGCAUAGAGUAACUGUUAUGCGUGUGACGGUAUCUAACCAGAAAGCCACGGCUAACUACGUGCCAGCAGCCGCGGUAAUACGUAGGUGGCAAGCGUUGUCCGGAUUUAUUGGGCGUAAAGCGAGCGCAGGCGGUCAAUUAAGUCUGAUGUGAAAGCCCCCGGCUCAACCGGGGAGGGUCAUUGGAAACUGGUUGACUUGAGUGCAGAAGAGGAGAGUGGAAUUCCAUGUGUAGCGGUGAAAUGCGUAGAUAUAUGGAGGAACACCAGUGGCGAAGGCGACUCUCUGGUCUGUAACUGACGCUGAUGUGCGAAAGCGUGGGUAGCAAACAGG